GAGUGGAGGAAGAGCAGGGGGGUUUCUCCUGACGUCUACUAUCAUCUCCACAGUUUUCAGCGUGUUGAGCUCCAGGUUGUUGUGACUGCACCAGACAGCCAG